rnacentral:tRNA from 1 species
GCGAGCAAGAUAUUUCGUAUUUGAUUUGAAAUCAAGUUUUUCGUUUUUAUAUAACGAUGCUCGCU